CAUUUAUUCAUCAAGGUACUUAUACGGGUGCUCCCCGACUUACGAUGAGGUUACGUUCUGCGAAACCCAUCGCAAGUCGAAAAGGUGACAACUGUCACACCUGCAAGCGCACGACUCAACUCCGCACCUGCAGACCAUCAGGGCACAAAGACAGAAGGUUCUGCUUCAUCCCUGGACUCAGCAGUGCUCGACCGCUUGCACCACGUUGUCUCUGCCCAAGGCACCGUGUUGGGCUCACACAAGCAAUCUCUGCACCGGAUCAAAGAGACGCUCCGUGGUUUAAUCACCCUCCUGGAAGAAGGCAGGAUCGUCCAGACAACCCCUGCCUCAGCCUCCCUGGAGCCUCCUUGUGCCACGGC
rnacentral:lncRNA from 1 species